UACAGAGGGUGCGAGCGUUAAUCGGAAUUACUGGGCGUAAAGCGUGCGUAGACGGUCAUGUAAGUCGGGUGUGAAAGCCCCGGGCUCAACCUGGGAAUUGCAUUCGAGACUGCAUGGCUAGGAUGCGGAAGAGGGAAGCGGAAUUUCCGGUGUAGCGGUGAAAUGCGCAGAUAUCGGAAGGAACACCAGUGGCGAAAGCGGCUUCCUGGUCCAGCAUCGACGUUCAGGCACGAAAGCGUGGGGAGCAAACAGG
rnacentral:rRNA from 1 species